UACGAAGGGGGCUAGCGUUGCUCGGAAUCACUGGGCGUAAAGGGUGCGUAGGCGGGUCUUUAAGUCAGGGGUGAAAUCCUGGAGCUCAACUCCAGAACUGCCUUUGAUACUGGCGAUCUUGAGUCCGGGAGAGGUGAGUGGAACUCCGAGUGUAGAGGUGAAAUUCGUAGAUAUUCGGAAGAACACCAGUGGCGAAGGCGGCUCACUGGCCCGGUACUGACGCUGAUGUGCGAAAGCGUGGGGAGCAACAGG
rnacentral:rRNA from 1 species